AGGAUUGCCCUCUUAACAUUUGUAUUCAUCCACAUUGGUUUUCUCCUAUUCCUGGCCCUUUUAUUCCCAUAAGGUAAUAGCAGACAUAGACUCGACCAUCAAAUUGACCAUAGAUUCACAGGGCACAAUUUUGCCUGACUACAAUCAACCAUCUCCAUUAGAGGUGUAGAUAUUUACAUCCCAAGUACCCUAACCAGCCAUCUUGUCCAUUAUCAAAGGAAGUGGCCUUCUUCUGAACAAUUUUGGCGCGCUCUGAGGAACUGACCAAUGGGAAUGCUUUUACGCAAUGUAGACGGAUGCCAGCUGGUCCAAUGAAGGAGACUAUUAGUCGAGGCACAGAAUCUACCAGAUAUCCUGCCUGGGAAUUGGCAUUAGGAGAACUAGCUGCUGCACACCACACCAAGCUCUGUGAUUUCUUGCUUUCACUAGAAUAAAUUGAAUUGAAGAUGGACC